rnacentral:lncRNA from 1 species
CAGAAAAGGUGGUUUCUUGAUAUUACAGCGAUGGAAGCUAAAGCCACUAGCUUCUACUCCCUUUUUCAUCACCUCUUUGACACACUGGUGUAUACCUUUUCUGGCUUUAGGUGCAGGCUGUACAUCACUUCUGCUUCUUGCAGCAGCCCAAAUUUCUGGUUUCAAAGACAAAUAGUCAAGCUCUGGGAUUUUGAUGAGCUGAUGCCAGUGCUGCCUGAGGUGGGAUUUAGGACACUAAAACACACUCUGUCACAGAGAUGCUGUGGAACUUCUGACAGGAACAUGCAAGAAAGGAUCAGCCAGAACACUUAGGUGUGGAAAUGCAAGGGGCAUCUGAAAUAAACAAGUUUAAAGCAGUUAACAAUGACAACAUCAGCCAGAGAUGUCACCAAGACUAGUUGCCAGAAAAGAAAAAGGGCUUUGAUCAAGAGGGGAGAAGCUACCCAGACUACUGCAGACAGAAGCACUCAGCAAGGUGAAAAUGUGCUGCUUCUCCCAAAACAGACAUCAUCACAUCAAGCAGAGAACCUGCCUCUGUCAUGCUCAGAGGUUUAGGCUGCCAUUAAAAAAGAUUUCACUUGAAAUACUCUCAUGUGUUCAAUGAGUCUGUACUAUGAAACAGAGUGGGGAACAGACACAGGUGUUUAUUUUUCUUCACUUCUUCAGGAUGUCCCUAAAGUCAGGCCCAUUCUUAUCUCAAAUGGUUAUUCUCCCAUCAGCUGUGGUGGGAGAGGGACCUGCCUGGGGAACAAGGAGAUGAAGGAGGGCUUAAGGCUUCCCUGGAGAACCACAGCACAGCUAAAGAAACAGUGGGAAGAAUGCUUUCCUUCUGUGAUCUGAUCUUACAUGACUUUCACUUCCAAAUUCUGUCUAAAUUUUCUUCUGGGGACAGGUGGUAUUCCUCAGACUCCAGCCCUGGCUAGAGCAGCUAAUACCCAAGAUACAGAAAGGGUGAUCACCCUGGGCAUGGGUGGAAAAGGUCCUAAACUGAUAGUACAACGUUAGAGAGGAGCCCU